GCCCCUAUAGCUCAGUGGUAGAGCGCAGCACUCGUAUCAUACUCCGAAAUGCUGAGGUCCAUCGUUCAAUCCGGUGUGGGGGCA